UACGGGGGGGGCAAGCGUUGUUCGGAAUUACUGGGCGUAAAGGGCUCGUAGGCGGCCAACUAAGUCAGACGUGAAAUCCCUCGGCUUAACCGGGGAACUGCAUCUGAUACUGGAUGGCUUGAGUUUGGGAGAGGGAUGCGGAAUUCCAGGUGUAGCGGUGAAAUGCGUAGAUAUCAGGAGGAACACCAGCGGCGAAGGCGGCGCUCUGGGCCGGUACUGACACUGAGGAGCGAAAGCGUGGGUAGCAAACGGG
rnacentral:rRNA from 1 species